UGAGGAGCAGCUCAGUGGUUGAGCACAUGCCUUGUAUGCCUCAGAUCCUGGGUUCGAUCCCCAGUACCUCCA
rnacentral:tRNA from 1 species